rnacentral:rRNA from 1 species
UUAAGCGACUAAGCGUACACGGUGGAUGCCCUGGCAGUCAGAGGCGAUGAAGGACGUGCUAAUCUGCGAAAAGCGUCGGUAAGGUGAUAUGAACCGUUAUAACCGGCGAUGUCCGAAUGGGGAAACCCAGUGCAAUUCGUUGCACUAUCGUUAACUGAAUACAUAGGUUAACGAGGCGAACCGGGGGAACUGAAACAUCUAAGUACCCCGAGGAAAAGAAAUCAACCGAGAUUCCCCCAGUAGCGGCGAGCGAACGGGGAGCAGCCCGGAGUCUGAAUCAGCUUGUGUGUUAGUGGAAGCGUCUGGAAAGUCGCAGGGUACAGGGUGAUACUCCCGUACACUAAAACACACAGGCUGUGAACUCGAAGAGUAGGGCGGGACACGUGGUAUCCUGUCUGAAUAUGGGGGGACCAUCCUCCAAGGCUAAAUACUCCUGACUGACCGAUAGUGAACCAGUACCGUGAGGGAAAGGCGAAAAGAACCCCGGCGAGGGGAGUGAAAAAGAACCUGAAACCGUGUACGUACAAGCAGUAGGAGCCCACUAGUUGGGUGACUGCGUACCUUUUGUAUAAUGGGUCAGCGACUUAUAUUCUGUAGCAAGGUUAACCGUAUAGGGGAGCCGCAGGGAAACCGAGUCUUAACUGGGCGUUAAGUUGCAGGGUAUAGACCCGAAACCCGGUGAUCUAGCCAUGGGCAGGUUGAAGGUUGGGUAACACUAACUGGAGGACCGAACCGACUAAUGUUGAAAAAUUAGCGGAUGACUUGUGGCUGGGGGUGAAAGGCCAAUCAAACCGGGAGAUAGCUGGUUCUCCCCGAAAGCUAUUUAGGUAGCGCCUCGUGAACUCAUCUUCGGGGGUAGAGCACUGUUUCGGCUAGGGGGUCAUCCCGACUUACCAACCCGAUGCAAACUACGAAUACCGAAGAAUGUUAUCACGGGAGACACACGGCGGGUGCUAACGUCCGUCGUGAAGAGGGAAACAACCCAGACCGCCAGCUAAGGUCCCAAAGUCAUGGUUAAGUGGGAAACGAUGUGGGAAGGCCCAGACAGCCAGGAUGUUGGCUUAGAAGCAGCCAUCAUUUAAAGAAAGCGUAAUAGCUCACUGGUCGAGUCGGCCUGCGCGGAAGAUGUAACGGGGCUAAACCAUGCACCGAAGCUGCGGCAGCGACACUAUGUGUUGUUGGGUAGGGGAGCGUUCUGUAAGCCGUUGAAGGUGGCCUGUGAGGGUUGCUGGAGGUAUCAGAAGUGCGAAUGCUGACAUAAGUAACGAUAAUGCGGGUGAAAAACCCGCACGCCGGAAGACCAAGGGUUCCUGUCCAACGUUAAUCGGGGCAGGGUGAGUCGACCCCUAAGGCGAGGCCGAAAGGCGUAGUCGAUGGGAAACAGGUUAAUAUUCCUGUACUUGGUGUUACUGCGAAGGGGGGACGGAGAAGGCUAUGUUGGCCGGGCGACGGUUGUCCCGGUUUAAGCAUGUAGGCGGAUGUUCCAGGUAAAUCCGGAACGUCAUUAACGCUGAGGUGUGAUGACGAGGCACUACGGUGCUGAAGUGACAAAUGCCCUGCUUCCAGGAAAAGCCUCUAAGCAUCAGGUAAUAUCAAAUCGUACCCCAAACCGACACAGGUGGUCAGGUAGAGAAUACCAAGGCGCUUGAGAGAACUCGGGUGAAGGAACUAGGCAAAAUGGUGCCGUAACUUCGGGAGAAGGCACGCUGAUGGUAAGUGAAGUGACUUGCUCAUGGAGCUGAAAUCAGUCGAAGAUACCAGCUGGCUGCAACUGUUUAUUAAAAACACAGCACUGUGCAAACACGAAAGUGGACGUAUACGGUGUGACGCCUGCCCGGUGCCGGAAGGUUAAUUGAUGGGGUUAUCCUCGCGGAGAAGCUCUUGAUCGAAGCCCCGGUAAACGGCGGCCGUAACUAUAACGGUCCUAAGGUAGCGAAAUUCCUUGUCGGGUAAGUUCCGACCUGCACGAAUGGCGUAAUGAUGGCCAGGCUGUCUCCACCCGAGACUCAGUGAAAUUGAACUCGCUGUGAAGAUGCAGUGUACCCGCGGCAAGACGGAAAGACCCCGUGAACCUUUACUAUAGCUUGACACUGAACACUGGUCCUUGAUGUGUAGGAUAGGUGGGAGGCUUUGAAGUGUGGACGCCAGUCUGCAUGGAGCCAUCCUUGAAAUACCACCCUUUAAUGGCUGGUGUUCUAACGUGGGCCCCUAAUCGGGGUUGCGGACAGUGUCUGGUGGGUAGUUUGACUGGGGCGGUCUCCUCCUAAAGAGUAACGGAGGAGCACGAAGGUCAGCUAAUCCUGGUCGGACAUCAGGAGGUUAGUGCAAUGGCAUAAGCUGGCUUGACUGCGAGCGUGACGGCGCGAGCAGGUGCGAAAGCAGGUCAUAGUGAUCCGGUGGUUCUGAAUGGAAGGGCCAUCGCUCAACGGAUAAAAGGUACUCCGGGGAUAACAGGCUGAUACCGCCCAAGAGUUCAUAUCGACGGCGGUGUUUGGCACCUCGAUGUCGGCUCAUCACAUCCUGGGGCUGAAGUAGGUCCCAAGGGUAUGGCUGUUCGCCAUUUAAAGUGGUACGCGAGCUGGGUUUAGAACGUCGUGAGACAGUUCGGUCCCUAUCUGCCGUGGGCGCUGGAGAAUUGAGGGGGGCUGCUCCUAGUACGAGAGGACCGGAGUGGACGCAUCACUGGUGUUCGGGUUGUCAUGCCAAUGGCAUUGCCCGGUAGCUAAAUGCGGAAGAGAUAAGUGCUGAAAGCAUCUAAGCACGAAACUUGCCCCGAGAUGAGUUCUCCCUGACCCUUUAAGGGUCCUGAAGGAACGUUGAAGACGACGACGUUGAUAGGCCGGGUGUGUAAGCGCAGCGAUGCGUUGAGCUAACCGGUACUAAUGAACCGUGAGGCUUAACCUU